rnacentral:rRNA from 1 species
UGGGGGUGAGUAACACGUACCUAACCUACCUUUUGGACCGGGAUAACUAUUGGAAACAGCAGCUAAUACCGGAUAAAAUAAAAAAAUGCAUGUUUUUUUAUUAAAAGGAGCCUUUAAAGCUCCACCAAAAAAUGGGGGUGCGCAACAUUAGUUAGUUGGUAGGGUAAAGGCCUACCAAGACGAUGAUGUUUAGCGGGGCCAAGAGGCUGUACCGCCACACUGGGAUUGAGAUACGGCCCAGACUCCUACGGGAGGCAGCAGUAAGGAAUAUUCCACAAUGAGCGAAAGCUUGAUGGAGCGACACAGAGUGCAGGAUGAAGUCA